rnacentral:misc_RNA from 1 species
UGCAUAAAGAAUGUUUGAAUCUUCAAGACGCGAGUAGAUAUCAAGGCUACAAAAUUAAAAGAUAUUAUAUAUGAAAUUUUGUUUGCAAAUCUAUAAGCUGCAUAAAUAAUUGAAAAAUGAAGGGUUCAGCAGGUCCCAAUAUCCUUCAGCUAAGCUGUCUCGUUACCUAAUUUUGUAGGGAAACAUAUUUUGUUACGAUGAUUAGCAAUGUUCUUAUAUCAUGAGAUCUAGCCUGCUCUGGUGGAACGAGUUUGUGAAUAUGAAAACUGAACACCAGUGACUUUGAAUUGGUUUCUACUUUCUACUGCUG